CCUACGGGAGGAGCAGUGGGGAAUAUUGGACAAUGGGCGAAAGCCUGAUCCAGCCAUGCCGCGUGUGUGAAGAAGGCCUUCGGGUUGUAAAGCACUUUCAGUGGGGAAGAAAGCCUUGGGGCUAAUACCCUCGAGGAAGGACAUCACCCACAGAAGAAGCACCGGCUAACUCCGUGCCAGCAGCCGCGGUAAUACGGAGGGUGCGAGCGUUAAUCGGAAUUACUGGGCGUAAAGCGCGCGUAGGCGGUCUGAUAAGCCGGUUGUGAAAGCCCCGGGCUCAACCUGGGAACGGCAUCCGGAACUGUCAGGCUAGAGUGCAGGAGAGGAAGGUAGAAUUCCCGGUGUAGCGGUGAAAUGCGUAGAGAUCGGGAGGAAUACCAGUGGCGAAGGCGGUCUUCUGGACUGACACUGACGCUGAGGUGCGAAAGCGUGGGUAGCAAACAGGAUUAGAUACCCCAGUAGUC
rnacentral:rRNA from 1 species